UUUUUUCUAUGACUUAGAUGAUAUGCAGACUCAAAUGAUAUUCACAAAAA
rnacentral:sRNA from 1 species